AAACUAAUUUAAUUUGGCGGCAUUUCAUCUAUUUAGAGGAAUUUGUCUAUUAAUCGAUAAUCCACGUUAAAUUUCACUUUAAUUUAAAACUUAUAUACCGCCAUUUUAAGAAUCAAUUAAAAAUUCUCUCUCCUAAUAACUAAUAAUAAAUUAGGUCAAGGUGUAAUCAACAUUAAAGAAUCAGAUGAAUUACAUUAAACAAUAUUUAAAGCUUAUAUAUAAAUAUAUAAAUAUAAAUAAGAAUUUAAAAGUAAUAUAAAAAUAAUAUUUAUACAUGAUAAAGAUAAUAAAUGUGCACACAUCGCCC
rnacentral:rRNA from 1 species